AAGCGAUAGAGGGAUUUACAGCUCUGAUGAGGUGAAAAUAUCGAACAGGAUUUACUUAAUAGAACUGUGACGUAUACCAAGAGACCCAAAGAUGACCUAAGAUGAAGAUGAUGAUAAUGGCGGUUCUACAGCUGAGGCUCACCUGGGCUGCACACCUGUUGUCAAAGACAGAAACCUGGGUUCGCGGUCACAUAGUUCAGCCGCGGACGUACCACCAUGGAUACACGGUUUAACCUGGCGGACCAGAGAGAGCACGUCCAAGGUAUGUCAGGUUGAUACGGAAUGUACUAGUGUCAGUGAGCAUUUAUUGGCAGAUGACCUUGCCGAAAUGUCCCUUUCUCAGCCAAAUUCGUCAGAUCUCUUUGCUAA